rnacentral:rRNA from 1 species
UACGGGGGGGGCAAGCGUUGUUCGGAAUUACUGGGCGUAAAGGGCUCGUAGGCGGCCAACUAAGUCAGACGUGAAAUCCCUCGGCUUAACCGGGGAACUGCGUCUGACACUGGAUGGCUGGAGUUUGGGAGAGGGAUGCGGAAUUCCAGGUGUAGCGGUGAAAUGCGUAGAUAUCUGGAGGAACACCGGUGGCGAAGGCGGCAUCCUGGACCGGCAUUGACGCUGAGGCGCGAAAGCCAGGGGAGCAAACGGG